UACAGAGGUCGCAAGCGUUGUUCGGAUUUACUGGGCGUAAAGGGCGCGUAGGUGGUGGGGUAAGUCGGAUGUGAAAUCUCCGAGCUCAACUCGGGAAGUGCAUUGGAAACUACCCUGCUCGAGGGUUGGAGGGGGGACUGGAAUACUUGGUGUAGCAGUGAAAUGCGUAGAUAUCAAGUGGAACACCAGUGGCGAAGGCGAGUCCCUGGACAACUCCUGACACUGAGGCACGAAAGCUAGGGGAGCAAACAGG
rnacentral:rRNA from 1 species